rnacentral:sRNA from 1 species
ACGACAGCCCAAGAGAUUCAGAUUCUCCACAAAACAGCACAGGCAGCAGCUGUAUGAGCUUCCCCAAGCUACCCAGCCAAUGUGCCUCAACCUUGACCUGUGGGGACAAUCUCUGGGUAUAGAGGACAGUUUAGUCUCUUUGGCCCAUUCAGUCUGCUAAGACA